rnacentral:rRNA from 1 species
UACAGAGGGUGCGAGCGUUAAUCGGAGUUACUGGGUGUAAAGGGCGCGUAGGCGGCAGGAUGUGAGCGAUGUGAAAGCCCCGGGCUUAACCUGGGAAGUGCAUUGCAGACUAUCCAGCUAGAGUACAUGAGAGGGUGGCGGAAUUUCCGGUGUAGCGGUGAAAUGCGUAGAUAUCAGGAGGAACACCGGUGGCGAAGGCGCACAUCUGGCCCGAUACUGACGCUGAGGCGCGAAAGCUAGGGGAGCAAACGGG